UUUAACUGAAGAGUUUGAUCAUGGCUCAGAUUGAACGCUGGCGGCAGGCUUAACACAUGCAAGUCGAGCGGGGGAAGGUAGCUUGCUACCGGACCUAGCGGCGGACGGGUGAGUAAUGCUUAGGAAUCUGCCUAUUAGUGGGGGACAACAUCUCGAAAGGGAUGCUAAUACCGCAUACGUCCUACGGGAGAAAGCAGGGGAUCUUCGGACCUUGCGCUAAUAGAUGAGCCUAAGUCGGAUUAGCUAGUUGGUGGGGUAAAGGCCUACCAAGGCGACGAUCUGUAGCGGGUCUGAGAGGAUGAUCCGCCACACUGGGACUGAGACACGGCCCAGACUCCUACGGGAGGCAGCAGUGGGGAAUAUUGGACAAUGGGGGGAACCCUGAUCCAGCCAUGCCGCGUGUGUGAAGAAGGCCUUAUGGUUGU
rnacentral:rRNA from 1 species